rnacentral:rRNA from 1 species
GACGGAGGGUGCUAGCGUUGUUCGGAAUGACUGGGCGUAAAGGCGCGUAGGCGGCCGGUUGCGUCGGAUGUGAAAGCCCGGGGCUCAACCCCGGAACGGCAUCCGAUACGGGCUGGCUUGAGACCGAGAGAGGUGAGUGGAAUACCCAGUGUAGAGGUGAAAUUCGUAGAUAUUGGGUGGAACACCGGUGGCGAAAGCGGCUCACUGGCUCGGUUCUGACGCUGAGGUGCGAAAGCGUGGGGAG